rnacentral:rRNA from 1 species
GCUACAGGCUUAACACAUGCAAGUCGAGGGCAGCAUGUGGUUGCUUGCAACCAAUGAUGGCGACCGGCGCACGGGUGAGUAACGCGUAUCCAACCUUCCCCUUAGUAGAGGAUAGCCCGGCGAAAGUCGGAUUAACACUCUAUGUUGUAUUUUGAUGGCAUCUGACGAAUACCAAAGAUUUAUCGCUAAGGGAUGGGGAUGCGUCUGAUUAGGUUGCAGGCGGGGUAACGGCCCACCUGGCCUACGAUCAGUAGGGGUUCUGAGAGGAAGGUCCCCCCACACUGGUACUGAGACACGGACCAGACUCCUACGGGAGGCAGCAGUGAGGAAUAUUGGUCAAUGGGCGCGAGCCUGAACCAGCCAAGUAGCGUGCAGGAUGACUGCCCUAUGGGUUGUAAACUGCUUUUAUCAGGGAAUAAAGUGAGGCACGCGUGCCUUUUUGUAUGUACCUGAUGAAUAAGGACCGGCUAAUUCCGUGCCAGCCGCUGC